GGCCUUUUGUCAGCAGGCCGCACACGCGCCGGACCGGGUACCGCUGUGCCCGGCCUGGCCGCGGCCUAGUCCCGGCAGACGGGACUGACGAGGUCACCAAGCCCAGGCCGAGACGGCGCGGGUGUCAGGGACUUGGGAAUCCCCCUCCCCCAGUCCCGAUCCCGCUUUCCUUUGGGGUUUCACCUCAGAGGACCCGACAGCACUCUUGCAGUUUCCUCAUCCUCAAGAUGGACUGCACCUUCUGGCAUCUCAAGUGGUUCUUGUGAAGAUUAAAUGAAUCCAUCAGGCCGGGUGCGGUGGCUCACGCCUGUAAUCCCAGCACUUUGGGAGGCCGAGACGAGCGCAUCACCUGAGGUCAGGAGUUCCAGACCAGCCUGGCCAACAAGCUGCCAGCAGCCUUGAAGCCACCUGGGACUGCACAGUAUGUCUGUGUGUGCCUUGAUCGCAUCACCCCCUGGACCUCCAGUGACCGAGAUCUCCCGCCAGACACCCGGGGCUGAGUCCUCGGAGAAGCCGCCUGCCGGGUGCAUCACCAGGACUCCAUUGGUGGUCAGUCCAUCCAUCAGGCCAUCUGGGGUCCGCCAUUUGGCCGCUCGCUCCUGGGACCACAUGAGGGAUCAGAUCACAUCCCCCAGGGGCCCCCCAGCAGGCCAUGUGCCAGAGGCACUGCCCCCGCUACCUUCAAGUUCAGAGGCGGCCCAGAGAGGACUGGCAUUGAAGCUGCAUGACUUGAGCGUCUCUCUGGGCCUCACUUUGCUCAUCAGUUAGGUGGGGUUGCUAACUGCCAGGACCACCAUUUGGAUUACUGUGGGCUGGUUCAUCACCUCAAGAUGCUGCACCUCCCAA